UACGGAGGGUGCAAGCGUUAUCCGGAUUCACUGGGUUUAAAGGGUGCGUAGGCGGGCCGGUAAGUCAGUGGUGAAAUCCUGGGGCUUAACCCCAGAACUGCCGUUGAUACUAUCGGUCUUGAAUGUUGUGGAGGUGAGCGGAAUAUGUCAUGUAGCGGUGAAAUGCUUAGAGAUGACAUAGAACACCAAUUGCGAAGGCAGCUCACUACGCAAAUAUUGACGCUGAGGCACGAAAGCGUGGGGAUCAAACAGG
rnacentral:rRNA from 1 species